UGUUUUCGGGUUUUUGCAGUUUUCCGUUGACUCAACUUGUCCCAGCAAGGAAGCCUGAUCCAGACAACAAAGAUGCUGGUGAUGACAACGAUGAUGCAACUAGUGAGGACGAUGAUGAUGAUGUACCUAGCGAAGGGGAUGGUUCUGGAGAUGACAAUGACGACCAAGAAGACGGCUCGAGCGAUGAUGGCGGGGGGAAGGAUGAACUGAAGGUCAAUGGCGAAGGUGGAAGUGAUGAAGAAGAAGAGGAUGAUGACGAGGAUGAUGAUGAUGAAGAUGAUGAGGACGAGGACGAUGAUGACGAGGAUGAUGACGAUGAGGAGGAUGUGGACGAAGAUGAUGACGAGGACGACAUCCCUCAGCCACCAACCAAGAAGAGGAAAUGAAGAGAAUGGAUGAGGAAGACUUAGCAGACUUCUGCCAUUGUUGUUCUAUUAAUUUGUAACAUGAAAUGGAUAUUAUUAAGGUUAUGUGUCUAGAACUAUAACAGCGAGUGAGUUCCAAGUAUCAGUGUUGUCCUAAUGUUUAAGCUACUGUGGAUUUGAUGUAGUUAUCAAUCUUUGCUCAUGUGAUUGGUGGUUGUGUCGGGUGAAAAAAAAGCUGUAGUUGGUGGUGAAGUAGUCAUGGUUUUGCAAGUGUGCUGUGGACUGAAUGAUUUGAAAUAAGGGAGGCAGUUGACUUGACAGAAACAAAGGUCAAAUCCUUAAUCCAAUGGGAUUAUCC
rnacentral:lncRNA from 1 species